rnacentral:tRNA from 1 species
UCCGGUAUGGUGUAGUGGCUAACAUCGCUCGCUCUCAUCGAGAUGUUCCGAGCAGCCCAGGGUUCGAUUCCCUGUACCGGAG